AUACGGAGGAUCCGAGCGUUAUCCGGAUUUAUUGGGUUUAAAGGGUGCGCAGGCGGCCAUUUAAGUCAGCGGUUAAAUCGUGGGGCUCAACCCCAUUCUGCCGUUGAUACUGGGUGGCUUGAUUGCGGUCGAGGUUGGCGGAAUUCGUUGUGUAGCGGUGAAAUGCAUAGAUAUGACGAAGAACACCGAUUGCGUAGGCAGCUGACCAGACCGCAAAUGACGCUCAUGCACGAAAGUGCGGGGAUCGAACAGGAUUAAAUACCCUGGUAGUCCGCACAGUAAACGAUGAAUACUUGUUUUCGGCGAUAUAAUGUCGGAGGCAAAGCGAAAGCAAUAAGUAUUCCACCUGGGGAGUACGCCGGCAACGGUGAAACUCAAAUGAAUUGACGGGG
rnacentral:rRNA from 1 species